AAAAAAAAAAAAAACUAAUUUUGAGAGAAAUAAAAACAAAAAAGUGAUUUUUUUUUUUUUCAAAUUCUGCUGCAGUUUCAGUUUGAGCUUAUAUCUCAAUUGGGAAACCAAUCAGAAGCCAAAGAAAGGCAAAAGGGUAUGAACACAAAGCAAUGAAAGUUGCAAAACCCAAUUAGGAAAACAGCAGAAAGAUUCUGAAUUUAUGAACAACUGAGAAUGGUACACAAAAAUUCAUUCAAAAAAAUAUAUAGAAAGAAAAAAAAAACUGUUCUUUCACCCUUUUGCUGGGAAAAAAAAGGGUGAAGAAAUAACAGUAAAGAAAACCAACUUAGCACAAAAAAGGAAUAGGAAGCUCCAAAUUGAAAAAAGGCUAUGGCUAAUAAUAUAUGAAGAUGAAAAGAAAGUAAACAGCAAACAGAGGUUGGAGCAAUGAAUUUGCUGAAAAACAAAAAUGAGUGUAAUGAAGGUGGUGAGCUGUGAUUGGAUGUAAUCUUGUUUGUGGAUACUCCUUGCAAUUCCACAGCAGAAGUUCCCUCUUAUUAU
rnacentral:lncRNA from 1 species